rnacentral:rRNA from 1 species
AGGACGAACGCUGGCGGCAUGCCUAACACAUGCAAGUCGAACGGGGGUAGCAAUACCCUAGUGGCGAACGGGUGAGUAACACAUAAGCAAUCUGCCCUUCACAGGGGGAUAACAGCGGGAAACUGCUGCUAAUACCGCAUAAGACCACGGUACCGCAUGGUACAGGGGGUAAAAACGGAUCAGUGGUGAAGGAUGAGCUUAUGUCCCAUUAGCUAGUUGGUGAGAUAACAGCCCACCAAGGCGACGAUGGGUAGCCGACCUGAGAGGGUGAUCGGCCACACUGGAACUGAGACACGGUCCAGGCUCCUACGGGAGGCAGCAGUGGGGAAUAUUGGGCAAUGGAGGAAACUCCUUACCCAGCAAUGCCGCGUGAGUGAAGAAGGUCUUCGGAUUGUAAAGCUCUUUGAUUGGGGACGAAGAAAGUGACGGUACCCAAAGAACAAGCCCCGGCUAACUACGUGCCAGCAGCUGC